GGAAGGCAACCGUGCAUUAACGAGCUGAGCGUCCAUGCAUGAUUCUGCAACCCCUGCCUGAUGAUCAUCGGUAGCUCGACGGAAACGGACUGGAAAGCGGGAUUGGAUUGGACGGAGCACGGCAGCAGGGGAGGAGGGAAUGAGCACAAGAUUCCCUGCCAGCUCGAAAGAGGCGCGGGAGAACGUGGGCAGGGCCGGCCUGGCCUGGCCAGCCUCGUCUCCGCCGGCCGGUCGCCAUCCU
rnacentral:lncRNA from 1 species